rnacentral:tRNA from 1 species
GGGGUUGUGGCUCAGUGGUAAAGUACUUGCCUCUCAUGCAUGAAGCCCUGGGUUCGAUCCUCAGCACCACA